UGGGGAAUAUUGGACAAUGGGGGCAACCCUGAUCCAGCCAUGCCGCGUGAGUGAUGAAGGCCUUAGGGUUGUAAAGCUCUUUCACCCGGGACGAUAAUGACGGUACCGGGAGAAGAAGCCCCGGCUAACUUCGUGCCAGCAGCCGCGGUAAUACGAAGGGGGCUAGCGUUGUUCGGAAUCACUGGGCGUAAAGCGCACGUAGGCGGACCGUUAAGUCGGAGGUGAAAAUCCUGGGGCUCAACCCCAGAAACUGCCUUCGAUACUGGCGGUCUCGAGUCCGGAAGAGGUGAGUGGAACUGCCAGUGUAGAGGUGAAAUUCGUAGAUAUUGGCAAGAACACCAGUGGCGAAGGCGGCUCACUGGUCCGGUACUGACGCUGAGGUGCGAAAAGCGUGGGGAGCAAAACAGGAUUAGAUACCCUGGUAGUCCACGCCGUAAAACGAUGAAUGCCAGCCGUCGGGCAGCAUGCUGUUCGGUGGCGCAGCUAACGCUUUAAAGCAUUCCGCCUGGGGGAGUACGGCCGCAAAGAUUAAAAAACUCAAAAUGAAAUUGACGGGGGUCAUAGCUGUUUCCU
rnacentral:rRNA from 1 species